UCUUCAAUUCACGUGCUCUCUCACCGGUCAGAGAGGCGAGAGAGUGUGCGAAAUUAAGAGA
rfam:Pristionchus pacificus strain PS312 contig4224, whole genome shotgun sequence.